rnacentral:rRNA from 1 species
AACGAACGCUGGCGGCAUGCCUAACACAUGCAAGUCGAACGAGACCUUCGGGUCUAGUGGCGCACGGGUGCGUAACGCGUGGGAAUCUGCCCUUGGGUUCGGAAUAACAGUUGGAAACGACUGCUAAUACCGGAUGAUGACGUAGGUCCAAAGAUUUAUCGCCCAAGGAUGAGCCCGCGUAGGAUUAGCUAGUUGGUGAGGUAAAGGCUCACCAAGGCGACGAUCCUUAGCUGGUCUGAGAGGAUGAUCAGCCACACUGGGACUGAGACACGGCCCAGACUCCUACGGGAGGCAGCAGUGGGGAAUAUUGGACAAUGGGCGAAAGCCUGAUCCAGCAAUGCCGCGUGAGUGAUGAAGGCCUUAGGGUUGUAAAGCUCUUUUACCCGGGAUGAUAAUGACAGUACCGGGAGAAUAAGCUCCGGCUAACUCCGUG